GCCCAUAUAGCUCAGGCGGUAGAGCGCAUCCUUGGUAAGGAUGAGGUCACCGGUUCAACUCCGGUUAUGGGCUCCA
rnacentral:tRNA from 1 species